rnacentral:rRNA from 1 species
GAAAAAUGUCGAUUGUGGAACUAGGCACGAAUAGAGUAGGGCGGGACACGUGAAAUCCUGUCUGAACAUGGGGGGACCAUCCUCCAAGGCUAAAUACUCGUAAUCGACCGAUAGUGAACAAGUACCGUGAGGGAAAGGCGAAAAGAACCCCGGGAGGGGAGUGAAAUAGAUCCUGAAACCGCAUGCAUACAAAAAGUAGGAGCCCGAAAGGGUGACUGCGUACCUUUUGUAUAAUGGGUCAGCGACUUACAUUCAGUGGCAAGGUUAACCGAAUAGGGAAGCCGUAGAGAAAUCGAGUCCGAAUAGGGCGUUCAGUCGCUGGGUGUAGACCCGAAACCAAGUGAUCUAUCCAUGGCCAGGAUGAAGGUACCGUAACAGGUGCUGGAGGUCCGAACCGACUAGUGUUGCAAAACUAGCGGAUGAGCUGUGGAUAGGGGUGAAAGGCUAAACAAACUUGGAAAUAGCUGGUUCUCUCCGAAAACUAUUUAGGUAGUGCCUCAAGUAUUACCAUCGGGGGUAGAGCACUGUUUAGGCUAGGGGGUCAUGGCGACUUACCAAACCUUGGCAAACUCCGAAUACCGAUGAGUACAGCUUGGGAGACAGAGCACCGGGUGCUAACGUCCGGACUCAAGAGGGAAACAACCCAGACCGCCAGCUAAGGUCCCUAAAAUUGGCUAAGUGGGAAACGAAGUGGGAAGGCUAAAACAGUCAGGAUGUUGGCUUAGAAGCAGCCAUCAUUUAAAGAAAGCGUAAUAGCUCACUGAUCGAGUCGUCCUGCGCGGAAGAUGUAACGGGGCUAAGCCAGUUACCGAAGCUGCGGAUUUGCACGCAAGUGCAAGUGGUAGGAGAGCGUUCUGUAAGCCUGUGAAGGUGGGUUGUGAAGCCUGCUGGAGGUAUCAGAAGUGCGAAUGCUGACAUGAGUAACGUAAGGGGAGUGAGAGACUCCCCCGCCGAAAGACCAAGGGUUCCUGCUUAAAGUUAAUCUGAGCAGGGUUAGCCGGCCCCUAAGACGAGGCGGAAACGCGUAGUCGAUGGGAACCACGUUAAUAUUCGUGGGCCUGGAGGUAGUGACGGAUCGCACAAGUUGUCCAAUCUUAUCGGAUUGAACGGGCAGCGGAGCGGUUCCAGGAAAUAGCUCCUCCUUAUAGACCGUACCCGAAACCGACACUGGUGGUCAGGUAGAGUAUACCAAGGCGCUUGAGAGAACUAUGCUGAAGGAACUCGGCAAUUUACCUCCGUAACUUCGGGAUAAGGAGGACCUCUCAUCAGGCAACUUUUGAGGGGUGGCACAGACCAGGGGGUGGCGACUGUUUAACAAAAACACAGGGCUCUGCGAACUCGGAAGAGGACGUAUAGGGUCUGACGCCUGCCCGGUGCCGGAAGGUUAAGAGGAGGGGUGCAAGCCUUGAAUCGAAGCCCCGGUAAACGGCGGCCGUAACAAUAACGGUCCUAAGGUAGCGAAAUUCCUUGUCGGGUAAGUUCCGACCUGCACGAAUGGCG